GAUGAAGAACGUAGCGAAAUGCGAUACGUAAUGUGAAUUGCAGAAUUCAGUGAAUCAUCAAGUCUUUGAACGCACAUUGCGCCCCCUGGUAUUCCGGGGGGCAUGCCUGUCCGAGCGUCAUUGCUGCCCUCAAGCACGGCUUGUGUGUUGGGCCUCCGUCCUCCUCCCGGGGGACGGGCCCGAAAGGCAGCGGCGGCACCGCGUCCGGUCCUCGAGCGUAUGGGGCUUCGUCACCCGCUCUUGUAGGCCCGGCCGGCGCUUGCCGACACAUCAAUCUUUUUUCCAGGUUGACCUCGGAUCAGGUAGGGAUACCCGCUGAACUUAAGCAUAUCAAUAAGCGGAGGA
rnacentral:misc_RNA from 1 species